UCCUUCGUUGACAGCUCCAGCAUCCUUUUC
rnacentral:piRNA from 1 species